GUACAAGGGCAAAAGUUACUGGGUUCAACAAAAACGAAAAUGUUAGUUUCUCUUUUAUGUGAUUUUCAGUUCUUCCCCCGCGCUCUUUUGUGAUGCUCUGGCAAUAAGAUGACUAUAGUUAUAGAAAAAACAGUACAAACUUUUUAAAAAGUUUAUUUUUUGAACUUCUCCCAAUUAAUAUACUGAACUUGAUUAUCUUUUUAACAGUACUUGCAUCAGCUCGUCGGAAUUGGUGUGUGUGCUUGUAACACAAUCAGUUCAGAUAUUGAGAGACCAUAAGUUUAUUGACAAAUAUGUAUAUUAGUUCAUGUCUUAAGAGUCCAUAAUUUUGUAAGGCCAGAAAAUGCAAGGGCUUAGUACAUCUUCUCAAGUCAGCAGCUAACCAAACUGGGUAAGUUUUCAUAAAUUCAUUCUAGUGUCAAACGUUGGUGAGAUUCCGAUCAAGACUUUUGUCUAUUCCAGCAACUUUGGGGUAGCUCAGUCAAUAUAGGAGCUGUGCAGUAAACAGCUUCAGUCGAGAAAUCAGCAAGUUGUAAUGCAUAGUGUGUUCCAGGCACCUGUCCUAAUUCCUAAAAUAUUCUACUCAACUUCAG
rnacentral:lncRNA from 1 species